UUUUAUUAUCUGCAGUAUUUACACUCAGUGGUGGUUCUGGCCCAUUUAAGGGGCCAGACUGGGGCCCGUUAAAUUAACUCUGAAACUAAGCGCUCAUGUUAGCAGUGGAGUGUGGUUCAGAGAUCAAGUCAGGCGGGUCAUCUGAGGAAUUGGUAUGUUGAUUUGGAGUACCAUUCCAUUGUUUUGUUGUAUAUAACAAACCACAUAACAUUCAAUUGGUAAACUUUUAAAAAAAGAUUUUUGUUCAGAAAAAGAAAUAAUGCACAUAUCAUAGAUACAUGACUUACACACCUUUCUUAUACAUUUUCUUUGCAUACAAAAAUACACAGUACUACAAACCUUAUACUACUAAUAUAUAAAUAUUGAACACUACAAACAUUUACAAAUCUAAAACUCAAAGUAUCAAUGCAUGUAUCAAAUACAUGACUUACACACCCUCAUCUAUGUGAUUGGUAUAUAAAAGAUUAAAGCCUGCAGUACUGUAGUUAAAGCUCAUUGCUCGUUAUACAGCACAGCUUUCAAACCAAACAAGGAUGAAGAAAUUCUCACAAGCAGCUAGUAGACCUUCACAAUCACACACACAGACAAGCAACAGGUGACUGGCCAAUCAAUAGAUGCAACAUUAGAGAAAUACCAAAUUAUUCACAGCCUCAAAGCGGGGGGAAAACAAACGAAAAAAAAAAAAAAAACACACCAGCAAAUGACCACACAUGUCAUUUUAAGUGUCCAGGCAAACAAGAUACAGAGCACAACAGGACUUCAACCAUUAACAGGAACACAGCCAGGAGUUAAAUACAGGCAGGCAGCCACGGCGGGACAUUUAACCAUCAGGAAAGAAACCAGCCAGCAGACAGACUGUAUCAGACUCACGUUUGUCGUCUCAAUCCAUCGUGAAGAUGCCAACUUUCACCUGGCGUCCCUUCGGUAGACUUCAGGAAGGGUGCAAUCUCCUUUUUGACCACACACCCUGGCUGCCAUUUACCAGCCGUUACAACCCAGAGGGGCGCUGUUUCACUCCCUUGAGGGAACCCAGUGAAAGAUGGAGAAGACGGCCUCAAAAAUGAUCAUUUGAACCCUGAUGAAGAUUUGCUAAGGUCGAAACCGCUCUUUUUUCAUUGUUUCAUGAACAAGCCAUCGAAAGUAUUUUUAUCAAAACUCCACAUUACUCCCGCGCCUCUACUCGGGAUGUCCUGUUUGUUCUUUUGUACAUUUUUGAAGAUUACCACUACCUGUGAUCUGUUUGUAUGUUUGUGUGAGUAACAAUAAAAAAGUGGUUUGUGCAACUUCAACCUUUCAUACAUGUCACUGGAUGUUGGUAUAACUAUAUUGCUUUUUAUAUGCAGAGAGAUACACAUCUAUUAGAGACAUGUCAUGUUUGAUUUAACAUUUUAUUCACAGACAAAUGGGUGAAAUAAAUAAGAGGGGGGGUGAUUCUUGUCAUAGUAACUAUUAUCACCUUCAUCACCAUAACAUUGGAACACACAACACAUUUACAUCAAUCACUUUCAGUUAAAUACAUAAGUUAGAAUCAAUAAUUGACAUAC